rnacentral:rRNA from 1 species
AGUCGUGCAUCUUUCGAUCACGCUCCAGUGAGGGAAUUAAGGACGGCACGUUGUCCUGGUAACAGGGAUCCAGCAGGGUGGCAACCCAGUAAUCAGCACAAGUUAAAAUGUGGGCAACUCGGCAGUCGUUGGCAGGCACUUUGGUGACUCUAGAUAUCCUCGGACCGAUCGCACAUCCCCAUGACGGCGACGACGCAUCCGGAUGUCUGCCCUAUCAACUUUCACUGUUACUUUCUGCACCUACCAUGGUGACCACGGAUAAUGGGGAAUCAGGGUUUGAUUCCGGAGAGGGAGCCCGAGAAACGGCUACCACAUCCAAGGAAGGCAACAGGCG